AUGAUUUGAUGAUUCACCAUCUGCCAUCUGCUGCUGACAACUCAUGUCUGAGGUCAGACUAACCUCAGUCUGUGAAGUGCUGCUCUCUAAUACUAUUUAAACAAGGAGAGUAUUUGGAAGUUUACAUACACUCCAUUCUCAUAUUUCUAGUGCACAUUUCAAAAGAAUUUAACCUCCCUUUCUCUAUUAUGUAGAGUUUUGCACAGUUUACUCUCUAUCCAUUAUACAGUGCUGCUCUUUGCUUCAGGACCCAGAUUUGACAUCAGACAUCAAAAGGGAACUGAUAGUGUUGACUACAUUGCCUAGGGAAACAGCUGAUUUACCAUCUCGACGGAUCAGAGCUGAGACAUGGAGAGGACAGAGAAUAAAGUAUCCGCAAUCUCUCCACAAAAACAGACAGUCAAAAAUAGGUCCAAGUCCACAGAUGAGGUACAGCAAGCCAAAAAGGCCUUUCACACACCACAGAAAUCUCUCCCGGCUAAACCAGUGACUGAGAAACUAGAGGAGACCUCAGAACUGAGUGCCUCUCUGGAGGAGAUCAAAUGAUUGCUGGAUUCCAACUUUUGGGGUUUUGAGACUUAGAUUAACUGGAAUUGUGAGGAACAGAAUGGAUUGUUCAGUGUGUCUGUUUAUACCAUUGUGACUUUUACUCAGUUUAGUUAGCAGAAUCACAGGUGAUUUGAAGGAAAAUUGACAAUAAUCAUGUGUUGCUUAUUUCAUUUGUAUGAGUCUGUUAAUGUUUAUGAAAUAAAUGCAGAUCACAGUGAAUUGUGUCUGUUGAUGUUGUGAGCCAAUGUCUAGUUUAGUGUUGACAUGUGUAGCUAACUUCGUAGUUAGACAUUUGUGAUGGCUAUUGAGUUACAACUCUUCUUUAGGUACCUUUGUGACCCUAGACAGUAAAGUAGGAAGCUGUAGAAGAUGAGGGCCAUUUUCUUAUUCCUCUGUAAUAUUUUUUCUCCUGUUUUUGUAAUAAGUUAAGGAUUUAGGGAAGUUUCUUUGUAUUUUGGUUUAUUUUUAUUUUCUUGAUUAUGAAAAUGUAUUUUCUUCCAGAGAGUUGGAUUGUCUUUUGUUUGUUAUUUUAGCCAAUACUCAUCUCUGAAGUUUUUGCUUCUUUCUUUUGCUGUUCAAUUUCAAUAAAUUAUG